AAUGUAAUUUUAAAAACUUGAGUAUUAAUAGUUAUAUUCUUUAAACUUAAAAAAUUUGGCGGUAUUUUAGUCUAUUCAGAGGAACCUGUUUUUUAAUCGAUAUUCCACGUUGGACCUUACUUAAUUUUAUAUAUUAGUUUGUAUACCGUCGUUAUAGAAAAUUUUAAAAGAAUAAUAAUUUUCAAUAAAUUUUAUAAAAUUUAAUAUCAGAUCAAGGUGCAGCUUAUAGUUAAGAUAAUAAUGGGUUACAAUAAAUUUAUUUAUAUGAAUAUGAAUAUGCAAAAUUUAUUGAAGGUGGAUUUGAAAGUAAAAUUAUAGAGAUUAUUAAUUUGAUUUUAGCUCU
rnacentral:rRNA from 1 species